rnacentral:tRNA from 2 species
GGAGAGGUGGCCGAGUGGUUGAAGGCGUUGGUCUUGAAAACCAAUGUAGCGUGAAAACGUUACCGUGGGUUCGAAUCCCACCCUCUCCGCAA